GCCGAGGGUCUUACACUGCGAAUAAGAGAUCCGAGGACUCUACGUGUGUACGGAUAUACUCGUAGGUACCUAUACACGUAACGUGUGUGUACGGUACUCGACUACCGCUGCACCGACUCAAUGGCUCACGAUUUUCUAUAGAGCUACACCUUUCACAAGAAGGAUAACACGCUCCUGCGCUGCAAUUAGGAGGAACCUGGUCCUCCUCUCCUUCCGAGUCUCGCCGAAGGAUGGGGUCUAUGGGCCAAGUAAUGUAAGUCUCUGCAGCGCACGUAUAAUUCAAUUCAAUUCAAUUCAAU
rnacentral:misc_RNA from 1 species